rnacentral:lncRNA from 1 species
UUAUAGUGUAAAUUGAGAAUGAGCACCACAAAGUUAUUUACCUAUUGUUUCUAGUUCAGUAGCUCACUGUCUCAAUUUCAGAACGCAGGGAUUUCUGGCUCUGUUUACGGGCGACACUGGCGAAAUCCGUGCAGAAGUUAGGGAACAAAUCGACACAAAGGUAGCAGAGUGGAGAGAGGAAGGAAAAGCAGAAAUCAUACCGGGUGUCCUCUUCAUUGACGAAGUACACAUGCUCGACAUCGAGUGCUUCUCGUUUCUGAAUCGUGCAUUGGAGAACGACAUGGCGCCUAUACUAGUGGUGGCCACCAACAGGGGAAUCACUUCCAUCAGGGGCACGAACUACAGAUCCCCACACGGCAUCCCAAUUGAUUUUCUCGACCGCCUGCUCAUCAUCUCCACGCAGCCCUACACAGCAGAGGACAUUCGGAAGAUCUUGGACAUCAGAUGCCAAGAGGAAGACGUGGAGAUGUCCGAAGACGCUAAGGUGCUGCUCACAAAGAUCGGUGAAGACACGUCGCUGAGAUACGCGAUAAAUCUCAUCACCUCUGCCGCGCUGUCGUGCCUGAAGAGGAAGGGGAAGGUUGUGGAGAUGGAAGAUAUAAGCCGCGUGUACGAGCUCUUCUACGACGUGAAGAGGUCGACGCAGUACUUGAUGGAAUAUCAAAGCCAGUAUAUGUUCAGUGAGGUGGGAACAGGAGAGGGAUACGAAGAGGAUGAAGCCAAUGCAAUGGUUGCAUAAAGAGUCUUGGUUUUUUUAAACACAAAAUGGUAUAUUUGUGUUCUUCAAUUAUGGAAAUGUUAAUUCUACUGGUAGUGAAUCUUUUGUAGCAGUCAUUUUUGUGCUUCAAAUUUGUAGGCUUUUGCUGCGUGUUGUUUUCAUUGGAAUAUUAUGUUAUUUUGAAGGGCAUGUGUAACCAUGAUUUGCUUAAAAUUAAAAUCUCAAAAAUCAUCUUUGGUGAAGUUUUCUUACUCAUAUCAAGUAUUAUUUAUUUAUUUAUUUAUUUAUUUUUAUUUUUUGGGGGGAUUUUGGAAUUAUGAAAGAAACCAAAUGACUAAAGUAAACAACCUUUGGUACAUGAACCUUGAGAAACAACACAUGAUUAAUUAGUACCACAAUUACUGCAUAAAGACAAACAAUCUUCGAUUGAGAAGCCAUUUUGGUUCAUGAACCUGCGCAGCUAUCUUACUAUGAUGAAAAGAUCAAUCGAAGAAUUAAUUAUACACAAGAUAAUUGUUUUUUUUAUGAAUGAAAACAUGUCCAUUUCUUUUCUCUUUUUUUUUUGUCUUCUUUUUGAGGGAAAUAAAAACUUUUGGUGAGAGGAUAGCCAUUGGAGCCUAGGAUGUUUUUUUAAAAUAAAAAAAUUAUGUGAGAUAGAAGCGUUCGAUUUCUUUUUUGCUAUAAAAGGUGCUAAUUAAAAACAAAAGUUUCCAAAAAAAUAUAUAAAAUUACAAUAUAAAAUAUUUAAAAAAUAAAAAAGAAUCAAUAAUAGUUCUCUUUUCCCCCUCAGCAAUGACUCGGAUUGGACGAGAAACAUUAAACCAACUGAGCUGACAUUCAUUGUCAAAUAAAAACUAAGGCGCCUAAGCUACUACCCCAGUGUCGCCACCCCUGUACUUAAACCCUAGAUAAAUACAGACAAUUAUGUCACUCUGGCUCGUUCAUUGCAUGCCGACACUUAAUAUAGGACUACGCGGGCGAGAGAUAAUAACACCCAAAAAAAAAAUCUAGCAUACGAACAAGUUGAUUUUCAAAGCAAAAUCAUAGGACUUGAUGACAAAAAUCCAUCAAUUAUAUAGGUAUCUUUGUAAGAAGAUAACUAGUUUGGACUGAAUAAUAUGGCCACAUUCAUUAUCAUUACAUCAACUUGUGAUUUCUAGGUUGUUGGGACCUCCCAAGUCCUAUCCCUAUUUAUGAAUAGACAACAUCACUUGGACCCUUUAACUUAGAUAGUUGUCUGAAUUAUUAAAUGUACAUUUUCAAAUUAACCAAAGUCCUCAACUAUAGUAAACCCUCUCAUAUCUAAAUUUUCAGACAAUAUACAAAUAGGGAAAUCACAAUAUGAUAAUCUAAUUAACGAGAUCGACCGUCGUUAAAUUUUAAACCCUAAACCCAAAAUCGAGGAUCUCGAUGGUGGGAAUCAUUGGGGCAAGUGCAAGUAGUUAAAUAAUUUAGGGUUGGAUGGGCAUGUACGUGCAAGGAUGGGGCAUUGGAUUCGACUAAUCCUAGAAACUGUGAGAACAUUAGUGUUUUGUAUGUAUAUGUUGGCAUGGUUCCAACAGUGGUGGAUAACCUGGGACUCCUAUGUCUUCCUCCCAUGCAAAGCUACCAUGUGAUUCAAGAUCACGACCUUCUAAAAUAUUACUAAUAAAGAUUCAAAUUAGCCACUAAUAAAAAAAAAUUAUCACUCUUAAUUACUUUUAUCACUCAGUCCAAGAUAUCAAGACCUUUUGAAAUAGUAAAGAUAAAAAUUAAUCACUAAUAUAAAAAAAAUAAUCACUCUUACUAUAUAUUUUACCACUCAGUUUACGAUCAAGAAUACUAAAAUUUAGUCUUGCAUUCGUCAAUUAAGGGCAACACAAUAUUUUGAGCUAGAAAGUAGCUAUUUUGAUCAUUUUUGGUCCUAAAUUAUGACUAUUUUUUUUUUAAUCUCUACAAUAUGAGAAAAUGGCUAUUUUCGUGUAUGAACUCCUUUUAGUUUCUUCUUAUUUUUUAAUUUUUGUAGUUGUAUGAUUAUUAAUGCAUGCUAGCUAAUGCUUAAAUCUGGAGUCGAAUAAUUAGGAGGAUAUUGUUGGUAUAAGACGAGGUAAACAUGAAUUUGAGAAACAAAAAACAGUAAGAAAUAAUAAAUUGAGAAGCCUCGACUCCAUUAAUCUAACAAAAUUAAAUGUAAUACGUAGUGAUUGCAUAUUACAUACUUAAAAAUAAAUGUUUAAUAAAUUAAACAGAAAAAAUAAAAUUAAUAAAUUAAAUAUUUGGCUUUAAACUUAAAAUAUAUAUAUAAGUGAAAUCAUUAAUUAUUACAUAUACAAUUAAUGAUAAAAUUAAAAUUAACCACACUUAUAAAGUCCUAACACUAACUCCUUAAUUAAAUCUCGUGCUGAAAAGAAGUGCACCAUUAUACUUGGGACGGAGGGAGUAUUAAUCUUUCAUUAUAGUAUAUAUUUAAAACUAAAGCACAAUAUUUUUUGUCACAAUAAUUUUAUUAUAUAUGAUCAAUACACACUAUAUAUGUAAUACGUAAUACGAAAUAUAAUGUUAGAUAUGUUGGGGUAUGUAAGGGCGGACAUAAAAACAAUUAGAGAAGGGUUGAUAUUUAAUAUGAUAGAUUUAGAAGAGCAAACCCUAAAGAAGCCAAACAUGUCCUUAAAUAUUAGCACGUAAUUAUUUCUUAGUUGUCUGAAUCACUGCCCCUCUUUUCCCCUACCCAAAACUUCAAUGUUAUGUCCCCUCCAUUUUCUCUCUCUCUCUCUCUCCAUAGGGUUUAUUUUGAAAAGCACGUAAUGUGUUACAUGUAUCCUAUAUAUAGAGCCCUUCAACAUAUGCAUUGAAAUAGUGAAACUUACAUUUAUAUUUCAUUAUUGGUUAUAUAUAGUAUUAAAAGUGUUGAUGGAACUCGAACUCGGACUUGCUCUCCCCAACCACAACCCUAUAAUCAUUCAAGACGUUGACUCGAACGUAUUAGAGACGGAAAAUCGCAGCCAAAAACGGGUGUUUCUCGAAGAUGGCGUCAAACUCGAGAGCACGACUUUGUCGUUGCUCGGCCGCCCGGAGGCGGAGGAUGGCCGCCCUCCGAAAUGGAGGAAACACCGCGUACUCGACGAGUAAGACUAAUUAGCUUCAAUUGCUUGAAUUUCUCCCUAUUGGUUGAAAAAGUGUCUUAUCAAUUGAACUGCGCUUAGUUAUUAUUAUUAUUUAUAUACUUCGCUUUUAAUGAUUAUUUUUCUUUAAUUUUAUUUGAACGAGCAGUACCGACGACGAUUGUCAAGAAAUUGAGGGGUGGUCGCCGACCGACUCGUCGCCGUCCCACCGCCGCCGACGUGGGGCGACGGUGAAAAAGUCAAUGCAUGUGAAGGUUAAGAUGGAAGGCGUGGCCAUAGGGAGGAAAGUCGAUCUUAGGGAUUUCGAUUCCUAUCAUGCUUUAACAAACACAUUGAUCGAUAUGUUUGCUAAAUGUAUGUCCUAACUAAAACUUUUUUUAUUUUUUCGUCGCUUUUCAACGACCAAAAUUCGUCGAAAUUUUAAAAUUAUCGUUUCAACGGAUUUUGUAAUCCGUUAGAAUAGGUAUGAUUCAAUGAGUUUGACUAUAAGGUGUGUAUAAAUGUGCAGAUAGUAAAAUUGAGAGAAAUGAAGAAGAUUACAUUUUAUUGUACUUAGACAAAGAUGGAGAUUGGAUGCUAGUUGGAGAUGUGGAAUGGGAGUAAGUAGUCAAAAAUUAAUAUUCACUUCUCUUACAUUAACAUAUAUAAUUAAUGUUCGUUUUGUUAAUUGCAGGGAGUUUGUUGAAUCUGUCCGGCGGGUCGAGAUACUGAAGAACAACAAUAAAAUGGGCUUUCGAUUAUUGUCACGUUAAACUCUAUAAAAUAGUUUAUAUAUCUCUUCGAAAACAUUCAAUCAGUGAAGAUCUAUUCUGUUAGUAGAUAGUUUUAAAGUUCAAUCUUGGUCGUGCACUCUUUUCCCAAGUCAAAAAUAAAAUAGCUUAUAUUAGUGAAGUAUUAGUCGAAGAAAAUCGUAUUUAAGAAUUCCAUGGUGUGUAGAAGGAAGUGAGAUUUCUAUUAGUGGUGUUCUUGUAAAUUGUAAUUACUAUAUAUUGCACCAAUCAAACCACCAUGAGGGUGUUCCCCCCCAACCCAAAAAAAAAAAAAAAAGAAGAAGACUUUUUUUGUGAGAAAAUUUUCAAUAUGAAAAGUAAUGUGUCACUAAAUUCCUAGAACAAAAAUCCAACAGCUUUUGUAUGGAUGUAGAGCACUUUAUAAAAGUAAUGCUCCAAUGAUUUUCUAGUAAAAAAUUCACUAAAAAUUUCAUUUCACUUUCCCACCUAUAUUUAAGUACAAGUAGUCUAACAUCACGGACUAUAUCAGAUUAUUAUAUAAUAUAAUUGAAAUUAAUUGUCUUAUUUUACUGUAGUUUCUGUUGUAGUCAUUGCUAUUCCUUGAAAAUGAAAGGUGCAAUUGGUUGUAAUUAAUUACAAAUUAUGAAAUUAAUUUACUUUAAGCCGGCAGCAAUAUCCUAAUUCCUAAACGAAUAUUACAACUUGGUUUUUGCAUAUAAAAAUAGUACUUAUUUUAUAAAUUAGGUUCCUAUCAAUUUAGAUUUUUAAUUUUACAUUAAUUUGAAUACAAUACUUAAAUGAUAUGAUCAAAUAUAAAGAAUAUAACAAUUGCAUGAAAAGCAACCCCAAAUUCUGCAAGAAAAGUCUAGUUUGGCAGCUUGUGUGAAUGCAGCUAUCAGAUUCUUGCAUUUGAAUAUUCUAUUAGGUCAAGCAGAAUUUAAGGAGUAAGAUAAUCAAUGAAUUCAAUUUUGCAGAUGCUAUGCAGAUGGAUUCUUCCAAAAUGCCCAAAUAUUACCCAAUUUAUAGCAAGCAAGAACUUCACCUUUUUUCAGCUCGGGACAGUGUGUGAUCUGUGUGUUUUUCUAGCUCCGUAAAAUGGUGUUUUUUAGCUUCUCUUUCACUGUAUUCUGGGUUCUUCAAAUUGUAGCUGCACAGCAAAAAACUGAGCUCGCUGAAGGUGUUUGUCGAAAUGCCUCUUAGAAAUAUUUACAUAGUAGUAAAACAUUUCAUUUAAUUUUUUUUUAUUUUUUUGGUUUUUUAAUAUUGUGUGAUCAGUGGAUGCUAUCAACAAGAUAAUUGAUCAUUGGAAUCUAAGGAGUAAGCUGAAUUUAAGCGAUGAUCCGUGUGUUGAAAACGCGAUUUGGGCUCCUGAUUCAGCUAAUCCAAGAAUUGCUUGUGACUGUGAUGGGACAGUUUGCCACAUUACACACUUGUUAGUGAAUUCUCAAUCUUCACUUUGUACAUGUGUUUCUCUAACUUCCAUUGAAGCUAAGAUCGAUCCUUUUUCGACUUGAUGCAGGAAAAUAUAUGCUUUGGACAUCUCUGGUGAACUUCCUCAAGAACUGUUCUUGCUGACAGAGUUGAUGGACUUGUAAUAAUAGAUUAAUGUAGUUUGAUGCUAAAAAAAAUAAUCAAUCUUUAUUGUUUCAAUCAGUUAAUUUGAUAUCUUUGAUCAUUUUAUAUGGUGAAGGAACUUGAAUCAGAAUGUGUUGAAUGGAUCCAUCCCACCAGAAAUUGGGCAGCUGUCCAAAAUGGAGUACUUGUUAGUGUCAAAACUAUUCAAUUGCAUAAUCUCUUGAUUUUCAAGAAUUUGAUAGAUAUGUUCAAUGUUGAAUAUGCAGGGCUCUUGGCAUUAACAAUUUCACGGGCUCGGUGCCUGCAGUGCUUGGCAAUCUCACCAGAUUGCGCUCUUUGUGAGUUUACAAGCUGAUGAUCUCUCUAUUGCUGUGGUGUUGCUUGCUCCUCGUCGUGAUUCACCCACCUUUUUUUUCUUGUGAUGCAGAAGUUUUGGUUCGAACAAUUUGCAGGGAAGCUUGCCUCGUGAGUUGGGAAAUUUGACCUUGUUAGAACAGCUGUGAGUAUUCAUCAUCUCUCACUUUUUUCUUACAGAUGUAUGUGUUGCUGUGUUGCGUCUUGUGAUGCUUCAGUCUCGUUUGAUGCUUCAGAUAUAUCGAUAGCAGCGGAUUGAGUGGACCAAUCCCACAAGAACUCUCAAAUCUCACAUCCCUCCAAAUAAUGUAUUUCUUCAUGCUUUUUUGUUGGGGUAGAUCAUUCUUUUAAGCUCGUUUACACCAUGCUCGAUUCUGGUAAAACCGUGUAAAUGAUAUUUUUGUUGCGUUUCAGAUGGAUGUCGGAUAAUGGUUUCACUGGAAAACUCCCUGAAUUCUUGGCCACUUUCACUGAACUCAAAGAUCUGUAUGCACUGCAGUUUCUCUUUUGCUUCCUUUCAUUGCUUCUUUUGCGAUUUGUUUCUGAAUCAUGCUUGUUCGCAGGAGAGUGGAAGGAACGAAUCUUGAGGGCCCGAUUCCCAAUAGUUUCAGUGCUCUAACCAAACUGGAAAACUUGUAAGAAAAUUUUCCACUAUGAAUCACAAGAAUGUCUUCUUAUCUUCCACUUGUUGUUUCACAUGCAUUCUGUUCAGGCGAAUUGGUGACCUUAGUGUUGGCGCGAGCGAAAGCUCUCUUGAUUUCCUAGAGAAUCUGACUAGUCUCUCCAUAUUGUAAGCUCUUGGAAUCCUCUCUCAUUUACUUUUUCUGUUUCUCACACUUCACUUGUGACAACAGAUCAUUGAGAAACUGUCAAAUCCGCGGCCCAAUUCCAGAACGGCUGAGCACUUUCCCCAACCUUACAUUCUUGUGAGUGCUGCGCGUGCGUGUAUAUGUGUGAAUGUUCGUAUCUUAUAUUUGAACGGGGUUGCCACGACAGGGACUUGAGCUUCAAUAAGCUGACGGGGCAGAUACCGGCUUCGUUCAAGGACUUUUCCUCACUCAAGUAUCUGUAAGUGAGCCAUUGAUUCUCAAAAAAUGUUCCAAAGUUGCAUACAUCUCUGAGAAAUUGAUUCCUCUUUCUUCAUUUACAGAUAUCUUGGAAGUAAUAACCUCAAUGGGGAUCUACCUUCUGAUAUAGGUUCAAAACUCAUUGCAUUGUAAGGCCAAAACUCACUUAUAUAUAUGGUUUCAUGUUGAUUCUUGAAAAUUAUGUCUACGUUUCGAACGAAUGCAGAGACGUAUCUUUCAAUCCUCUCACUGGAAAUAUCCCUCUUGAUUGGAGCCAUGUAUCCAUGUAAGCCAUCUCCAUUCCUUUGCAAACUUGCUCAUCA